rnacentral:tRNA from 1 species
CGGCGGAGGGGGAGGGAUUCGAACCCUCGGUACCGUGAAAACGGCACACUCGCUUUCCAGGCGAGCACCUUCGACCACUCGGUCACCCCUCC